rnacentral:rRNA from 1 species
CUACCAGGGUUUCUAAUCCUGUUCGCUCCCCACGCUUUCGCUCCUCAGCGUCAGUAACGGCCCAGAGAUCUGCCUUCGCCAUCGGUGUUCCUCCUGAUAUCUGCGCAUUCCACCGCUACACCAGGAAUUCCAAUCUCCCCUACCGCACUCCAGUCUGCCCGUACCCACUGCAGGCGCGAGGUUGAGCCUCGCGUUUUCACAGCAGACGCGACAAACCGCCUACGAGCUCUUUACGCCCAAUAAUUCCGGACAACGCUUGCACCCUACGUAUUACCGCGGCGGCUGGCAC